CGCAUCUGUGCAUGCAGCAUAUCAAUAAGCGGAGGAAAAGAAACUAACGAGGAUUCCCCUAGUAACGGCGAGUGAAGCGGGAAGAGCUCAAAUUUGAAAUCUUAAAGGGUUUCCCUUUACGAAUUGUAGUUUAAAGAAGUGUUUUCUGUUGAGGUUUUGGUAAAAGUUCUUUGGAAUAGGACAUCAUAGAGGGUGAGAAUCCCGUAUUUGACCUUUACUUUCAACUUUGUGAUACACUUUCAAAGAGUCGGAUUGUUUGGGAAUGCAGUCCAAAAUGGGUGGUAAAUUUCAUCUAAAGCUAAAUAUUGGCGAGAGACCGAUAGCGAACAAGUACCGUGAGGGAAAGAUGAAAAGAACUUUGAAAAGGAGAGUUAAACAGUACGCGAAAUUGUCAAAAGGGAAGCGUUUGACACCAGUGUUGUUUUUCUGAAAAUCAAUUAAAGAACUGUUUAUGCUAAGUUGUUUAGACUUUAUCAGCUAACUGUUUAGUUUUGAGCUUUUCUUUAAUGCACUUUUCAGUUAACAAGUCAACAUCAAUUUCUUUUGCUGUAAAAAAGCUUGAGGAAGGUGGCUUGAGAUUCGUCUUAAGUGUUUAUAGCCUCUUGCCUAUGCAGUCGGAGAGAUUGAGGUCUGCAGCGUAGAUCCUUCGGGGCUAAAUGCAUUUGUGCUAAGUUAUAACAUUUUAUAGACAACUUGUUGACUAUGAUUUGUCUUAGUAGCUUACUCGCUUAUGUUAUUUUACCUACGCUUAGGAUGUUGAACGCGCACAGAGUCUC
rnacentral:rRNA from 1 species